rnacentral:lncRNA from 1 species
AGACAUCUUCCAGGUAUUAUGUCAAAAGAAGUUUGCAUUGUUGUUGGAUGAUAUAUGGGAAUGGUUUGAUCUCACAAGAGCCGGGGUACCUCUUCCAACACAAGAAAAUGGCUCUAAAGUCAUUUUCACAACUCGUCGUCUUGACGUGUGCUGUCAAAUGCAACCGAACAUGGAUAAUAAUAUCAGAGUGGAAUGUUUACCACCAGGAGAAGCUUUCAAACUGUUCGAGGAGAAGGUUGGAUCAGAAACCCUUCGAAUGCAUCCAGAUAUUUGCAAGUUAGCUGAAGCGGUGGUUGAAGAGUGUGCAGGGCUACCUCUCGCUCUCAUUACAAUUGGGCGAGCCAUGGCAUCCAAGAAGACCCCUCGAGAAUGGGAAUAUGCUACAGAAGUUUUAAGGCAAUCAGCAGCCUCUGUGUUGCCAGGGGUAGGGAAAGAGAUGUAUCCCAAGUUAAAGUUCAGUUAUGACUGUUUGCCUGAUGAAAGGUUCAGAUCUUGUUUCUUGUAUUGUUCUUUAUAUCCAGAAGAUUAUCUCAACGAAAAAGACGAACUAGUACAUUGUUGGGUCGGGGAAGGACUUUUGGACGAGCAUACCAAUUUGAGCAAUGCCAGAAACCAGGGACAUUUCGUUAUAGGUUCUCUUAUUGACGCAUGCUUAUUAGAGAAAGGACAAAAUAAUGUUAGUGUAAAGAUGCACGAUGUGAUUCGCGACAUGACUUUGUGGAUUGCUGGUGAAUCUGAGAAGGAGAAGUUUUUUGUAAAAUCAGGCGUUCAGUUAAAGGAACAACCGAAAGCUAAAAAGUGGGAAGAGGUAACAAGAAUGUCUCUGAUGGUGAAUCAAAUUGAAAAUCUAACUGAGAUAUUGGAAUGUCCCAAUCUCCAAACUUUGUUUCUUGGCAGGAAUGAAUUGAAGGUAAUCAUGGAUGAUUUCUUUAAUUUCAUGCCGAUGCUAAGGGUUCUGGACUUGUCUGAAAAUAUGAAUUUGGAAGAAUUGCCAGUAGGAAUUGCAAAGUUGGUUUCACUAGAACAUCUAAAUUUGACACGGACAGGAAUAAAAAAGUUGCCAGUCGAAUUGAAGACCCUAGCAAAGCUGAAAUAUUUGAAUCUGGAGUGGACACGCGAUCUAAAAAUGAUCCCACAACAAUUGAUAUCCAGUUUCUCCAAGUUGCAAGUACUGAAAAUGCACGGAUGUGGCUAUGGAUGUUUAUUGGUUUUGGAGGAAUUGGAGCAUUUAAAAUAUUUGAAUGUGUUGACUCUUACUUUUGGAAGCUUUUCAGAGUUGGAAAAAGCUUCGAGGUUCAACAAGGUCUUUAGCUGUGCCAUUGAACAUGUAAGCCUUAUAGAUUUCAGAGAUUCAAGAUCAUUGAAUAUGACGGCUUUAGCAAAACUGCAGCAUCUAUGUAUUUUAUGGCUCUGGAGGGGUGUGGAUCUAGAGGAAGUGAAGAUCGAAAGUAACAUAAUUGAAGGUGCAGGAUGCUUCCAUAGCCUUCGAAAUGUAAACCUAGCCGGAUGCAAUCAUUUGAGGGAUGUGAGUUGGGUAACUUUUGCUCCACAUUUGGAAGAACUAGAGAUAUAUAAAUGCAAUGGUUUAGAAGAAAUCAUCAGUGAAGAAAAACUUGGUGAAGUCUCUGAGCUAAAAGGAAAUUUAAACUUAUUUUCUAAGCUCAAGAUCACUUUGUUUCUACGAUAUCUGCCCAAACUAAAGACUAUAUACCACCAUGCUCUGCCUUUCCCACAGCUGAAGGAAAUCACAAUUGACGAAUGCCCAAUGCUGAAGAAGCUCCCACUAAACUACAAUAGUGCAAAAGGACAGGGGCUCAUCAUUAAGGAGACGAGGGGUGGUGGAAAGAUGUAGAAUGGGAGGAUGAAUCCACUCGAACUGCUUUUCUCCCCACUUUCAAACUUCAUGUAUUCUAAGAAAUGUGGGAUAUUAAUUAAGGCUUAAAACCAUUAUUGUAUCAUAAAAUGUGUCAUUGCAAGUUCUUAUUUUGUUUAUCCCUGAAUUACAUCAUGUUUGAUUUUUUGUUUUACACAAUGACGUUUUCCUUUAUAUAAAAUAAAAUGUUUAAAUUUGAGAAUAUAUGAUGUUAAUGAAUUAUAAUUUGAAGAAUAACUCUGAACACAUCACAUCAUUUUCUUUACUAAAAAUUUUGAUAAUUAUAGUAAAAUUAAAUUUUUUCCUAUUGUGUAUAUUUAAAAAUGAGAUAAUUUUUCUUAAAGGAAAGUAAACUAUAAAUGUGUUAAUUAUAAAUUUAUAAUUUUAAAAAGAGAAAAAUUAAGUUUAAAUAUAAUUAUAUUCAGUGACAUAAUAUAAAUGCUGAAAUAUUUCAAUAUUUGUAUAUUAAAUUCAUUAAUACAAAUUACUAACAUUUUAAAAUUUUUAUGAUUAUAGAAUGCUACUACAAAAAUUUAACAUAUAAAUUUUUUUUAUGAUGUUUCUGCAAAGAUAAUUGGUUAUAUUAUUAAAUUAGGAUAUUACAAAUUAAAACAUAUUUAAAAAAAAAUUGGGGAAACUUAAAUGUAUACCCCACUCUUAAUUUCAUUCCAUUAAAAAGUUUUAUUAUAAUUAAUUAAGUUUUAAUUCAAUUAACACCUGACAAUAAUACUUAAACAUGUAUUAACCUUAGAUUCACAGAUUAUUUUUUAAAAAAUUAUUAUUCAUAUGUAAUAUUUAAAUGAAUUGGUGAUAUUAUUAGUUUUAAAUAAUUUUCUUUAAAAGAAACCAACUUAAUAGUUUCAGCAACCAAAUUAUUAAAUAAAAAAUUAAAGAUAAUCAGGGUUAUAGCAACUUAAUUUUUGGAAAAAAGGGUGAGAAAAUUAACUAUUUUUCAUUUGAAAAAUCAAUAGCUAUUUAAUUGCUUAUUUAUAUUUAUCUUUUAUCUUUUUAUUAUUAAUUUUAAAAAUAAAUAAAACAAGACUUCUGCCUUAUAUCUAAUUUAAUUGUUUAUCACACAUAAUGUUCCAUGUUAAUAUCCCAUUAUAAACAAAACUAGACUUAAAUAAGUUUAAAAUUAAUCAUUUACAAAUAUCGACAAGCAAAAACUUGCAAGAUUUAAGCAUUGAAUUGAUCAAUGACUACUUAUACUCAAAGUGAGAUUAUGUGUAUGAAUUAUGUAGAAUCACAGUGUCAUAAACAAGUUAUAGCAAAGUUAUUAAUAAGUGAUGAGUGGAGAAUAUGAUAUGCCAAAUUGUAACAAACACUACUAAAUGUGCUUACCACAGCCUUAGCUAUAAUUGCACAAACCAUGACAAGGAGUUGGAAAAAGAAAAGAAAGGCUUUGCAUUACCUUCUACUCAAACAGUAAUGACAACUCUCCCUAAAAUCCAUUCGAACAAAACUUCAACCCCACAAUUAGGAUCAGCAAUUACUUAUGGUUUCAUCAGAUUAUACCAUACUGAAAUGUCUCAUUUUUUACAUCUAUUUUUGUCAUACAAUGCUCAACCUACUUCCUUUGCAUUUUGAAUCUACACACCGGCUUCCAAGGUUGCGAACCAGAUGACUGCAAAGGACAUUAAUAUUGUAGUAAGUAUUCAAGGCAGUCAAUAUGCAACUUAUUAGCUAUAUACUCACAAAGAUGCGUAAGCACAAUACCUGUAAUGAAGUCGUAUUUGCUCCCACUGACCUUUUAUCCAAAUUCUGAGUAUGCUCAACUAUAGAACCUGUAAAAGCCUGCACAUAUAGCCAAUAAAUCAUGAUGGAUAAAGGCACAUAAACAACACACCCUAAUAAUUAAUCAAAGUAACCAGCAUGGUAGAGGUAGCAUACCUUGGAACUAUCAAAUUCUGAUUUUGAGGCCUGGACAGAUUUCUGUAACACAAAAUUGGAGUUAAAAAAGAUGGCUAGCAGCCCUCUCAUCGGUGAUUUGCAUUUAUUAAUACAAUAUAGAGAGAACAAGGCUUGAUACAAGGUCAUUGAUGUUAUCCAAAGAUCUAUUCUGAAAUAACAUGAAUGAUCUCAUGUUGGCUGUCUCUAUUUUUCCUUCUCCCAAAGAGCAGAGCUCAAAUAUAAGCUACAGCUACCUUAUUUCAUUAUGAUGGUUCUGCUUCAAGCUUACCUUCUCAAAAGGAGCAGAGGCAUUUAUGGAAGGACUUAAAGUCUUUGUGUCUUGAUGUAUGAUUCGACCAUGUGAAAUUUCACCUGAAUAAGAUAAAAUAAAGGAAUUGCCUCAUCUAUAAAUCAAACUCGAAAUGAUUUUCACAUCUAUCAGUAGAUAACAUAAUAUCUUUACCCUCCUUGAGUUUGCAUGAUUGACCACAUGCAUAAGUCAGAAACAUAACCAUCAUAGUUACCUUUGGUAACAGGUUCCUCUGUCAAUCCAGUAGACUGCAUUUCAGAUAUACAGAAAUCAGACUUCAGGAUUCAUUUAUCAAUAAGUUAGAAGGAUUAUCAAAGAAAGGCUAAAAGACAAAGAAGGCAUGCAAAGAUUUAAUCACUUACAGUGAACUGAUUAGUUAAAUAAAUCUUGAUGCUUAUAUUUAUUGGACAUCUCUUCAAUUGGUUCUUUGCCGUUGAACUGCUGUAGUUGUUUCCUUGACUGAGACUGAUACAGCUAUUUCAUAAGUGACACAUUCAACAUACAAUUGUAUUAACAGGUAAAAAGCACCAAGUCCCAAAAUUACCUCUGAAUAUCUUUGACCAUGAUCAAGAUAACUGUAACAUUCAUCCUUUUUUCUAUGAAAAGCAGCUUUAGUCAACUCAUCUUCAUCACCAUCACCUUCAGCAGCUUUAGUCAAUUCAUCUUCAUUGCCGUCACUUUCAACUGCAUUAGCAUCUUCAUCUUCAUCUUCAAGAUUCUCCUCAUUCUCUUCAGCUGCAAGUUCUUCUUUCUCAAGCUCUUCCAACCUUGACAUUAUACGAGCAUAUUCAUCAUCCUCAGAUGCACCCAUUUUAUUGUCUGCUUCAGCCACACUAGGAGUUUCAAGUUCCAGUGAACCUGAAAAGAAAACAUUUUGUCUAACUUAAAUUCCUCAACUUCAUUAAAAUAAGCAAUAACCAUUUCAUCACAAUCAGUUAAGAUAAUUAGGCUGCAUAAUAACAAGUACCUCGACAAAAGAAGUUCUAACAAAAGAAGAACGAACAAGAUAUUAAGCAACAUGUUAAAAGAGAUAUUGCAAGCAACCAGCAUACGAAGUUCACAUAAAACAUAAUCCAGAAUCUGUUUGCUAGAGGAUCAUCCUUGCUAGAGCAUCUUCAUGUUUCUCUAAGCUUUUCCAUUUACUGGGAAGAGUCUUUGAGAAUCAUACAUAAGUGUCAUACAUAGAUGCUUUAGAAAUAAACAAGAGCUGAAAAAACAUGGGUUUAAUGGUUGACGAUGGUUCACCCGGAGACCAAGAACCUUAUAGAUGAAUGGGGGUCGGAGGUGUUCCUGACUAUGGGAGCUCUUGAUGGAUUCCAAGAGGAAGAGGAGAGGAACUCCCCCUUUCUCUUGGGUUUUCCUUGUCUUUUACUAGGUCAUAGGGAAAGUUUAUAUGUAACCAUUAAGUCCUUUGGGACAAGCGUGUACAUAAGGGUCACGUGUAUAUCAUGUUAAGCACAUGUGUCCAUAAUCUUGUAUCAUUUGGUAAGGUGAGAUCUCCAUGCAUGGUGAUUGACCUAGUUAGGGCUUCCAAGCGUAAUGGUGACAUAUAACAAAGUGUAAAACAUAAAAACACAACCUUUUUAAUUUUUACAUUCAUCUCAUAUAGUUCCUUUCUUUUGGUCAAAAUUAUUGUAGAUUGAUGAUACGGAUAUAAAGAAGAAGACAAACAAAGAUAUCAAUAUGGCAACCAUGUUUGACAUAUUCUAAGGAAACACAGAAUCGUGAGGCUCGAACAGUUGGUACAAAACAGGAACACUUUUGCACAAACAGUGGAAAACAUAUUUGCAUUAUCAUUUCUAGCCAAAGAUGGUCGUGCUGAUAUUAAACUGGAUGAAAAAGGCAUUCAUUUAGUCUGUAAGAUACUUCUAAAAUUUCAACUUAUAGUCCCAUUUCCAAAGCUUUUUGUUUAUUAUUCAAUUUUAAGAAUCUAACUAUUUCUAUUCUAUUAGCACCAAAGAAUGCUCCUACUGCUACAGCAAUAGCAUCAGAAGAAGUUGUUUACAAUCACUUUGUUUUCAGAUUUGACUUUAAGGAUUGGAAGGUACUUUCGGGAGUAAAAUUAUUAUGGAUGCGUCGUACUAGGAGUCGAAUUGUAUUUUGCUUAUUUUACUUGGAAAAUGACAAAUUAGUUCCUCUACUUUAGAUAAAAAAAAGUAAACUGGUCUUUCUAUUAAAAAUUUUAUCUAUUUCUAUGUUAAAAACUAGUCCAUGAGCAUUUGUAGCAUUGCCAGAAAGAACUGAUUUGCUCUUUGAUUCAACAUAUAGGAAUUGAUUUGUUCUUUUUUUUUUUUCAGUAAAGAGGUAAAAAUUCAAUCUAACUCCUAGUAUAUGAGCAUUGAUUACUUUUACUUACUUUUAGAUUUAUAUAUUUUAGCUUUAACUUAUUCAUUUUUGUUUGGUUGUGUUUCUUUUGUGCAUUUCCACGGCUGAUGAUAGAUUAUAUUGAGGUUGGCCAUGAACUGAUGCCCCGUAGGGAUUAAAGUUGAAAGCAUUACAGCAAUUUUAACUUGCAUAUAUGCAACUGAUCUUCUUCUACAAAACUUGAAGCAAAAGGUAUUUAGAAACACCAAUCUGAAAGGUAACUAGGAUUCAUGAUUUUAAUGGCAUAGGUUGUUGGUGUUGUUUUUGUUUAAUUGUAUGGCUUACAAUUGGGGCGUAAUUGGUUUAGUUCAUAGGAUAAUCGUUGUCGAUGCCAAGGCUUCUAUAAUAUUCCCUGGCUUUUUUUGUUUGCUCUUUUGCAGCUUUCUUUUAAGAAAGUUUAGUAAUCUCUGGUUUACUUUUGAUGAAAAAAAAGUAUGUAAAAGUUAUGUUAAAAGAAAUCGAGUUUUGGUUAAAAUUAUAUUGUUUAAAUUGAAACUGAUUGUUUGGACUAAGAAUCAGUCGUGAGAUUAGUAUGGAGAAAAGGAUUAAAAUGCUUGACGUACGAACUGUUUAAAACCGAUUUAAUUAGACUACAAAACUGAUUGAAGCAAUUAAAAUGGUAAUUUAAACAAUAUAUAUAUUAAUAAACGGAUUAAAAUUUCAAAUUUAAUAAAAUACAAUAACUAAAUUCUAUAAAAUUAUAGAGACUAGAAAGGGCUAAAAUUCGGCCAGACCUUGUUUUGUUAGCAACGGUGUUUAUCUUUGUACAUAGCUAAAAGUAUUUUAACCGCCGAUUAAAUAAUAAGCACCGGUGGUGUAGUGGUAGAAUACAGACUCGCUGGGUUUGAUUCCUAGCUGAUAAAAUUUCCUUCUAAUAAUUUUAGUUUCUCUACUUUAUGAAUUGAUCAAUUUCAGUAUCUAAACCGUAGCAGUUAAAUCCAUUUGGUUAAAUUUAAUUGUUAGUCUUGCACUAUACUUACAAUUGUAGAACUGAUAAGUAUUCUCUAAUCGGAUCAUUCUAAAUCAUAUAUAUAUAUAUUUGAAAUUCUAGUGUUGACACAAAUGAUAAUAAUUAAUCUAUUAACUAUAUUUUUAAUGCGUAAUGUUUGUGGAUAACAAGUUGACAUGACAUUAUACAUAUAUAAGAUAACAUGUUCGGUGCAUCAUAUUUUUGGAAACAGUAAAAUUUAAUAGUUGCCGCUUGUUAAGGAUUGAAAUUUUAAAAUUUGAAAAGUACUAGAAUUAAAGAUGACCAAAUUAAUAUAUAGGAAUUAAAUCGAUAACUUUCACAAAUUAUAGGGAUUAAUAGCAAAAUUUAACGAACAAAAAUUUUCACAUAUUUAAAUUCAAUAGAUUGCAUGGAUAAAAAUAAGUAUGGUUCUAUCCAACCCAAAACGAGUGUAAAUUAUUUUUUUUUGUGGAGUUAUAGAAUUAAAAUUUAAGAAUUACAUUUAAGUAUAUUUGGAAAUAGCUCUUUAUAUUUUUAUUUUUAAAAAUUUAGUCUUUUUAUUUUUCUAAUUUAAAGAUUUGAGUGCAGCUAUUAACAUUGUUAAAAAUUUUAUGUUAAAUUUAUUGACUUGACAUUCUAAUUUUUUAAAAUCCUCGCUUAGUAACCACAUGACAAAAAAAGAAAAAAAAGAAAAAAGAAGAAGAAAUGUGAUAAAUCUAAAUUUAAUUAAGAAUUUUAACGGUGUUGAGAAUUCUAAAUUUAGGGACGAAUGUAAAAUGACCCGAACAACAAUUCAAAUCUGAAAUCUUUUGAAUCCAAAGUGAUUCAAAAAGUUUAAAUUAAAAAUGGACACAACCAAGGUAAAUUUAUCAAUGACUAAUGCUACCAAAAAAAAUUAGGAACUAAAUAAAAAAAAAACAUCAAAUUUAGGGGCUAAGUGUUACCUUACCAAUUUUUCUAGUGAUAGAGAAGAAUUGGACUGGUCCAACUCGUAAUUUAGUUUUUCCCUGCCUCCAACCCCAUCUACUUAAUUCAUGUUGAAAAUUGAGUUGCGGGUCUCUAGCUGAUCCCCGAGGUUAAUUACAAUUGAAUGACGCAAUGGGGUAACAACAAUCCAUGCUCACCAUGGUUGGCGGCUUGAAAGAGUAAGAUAAUGCCACCAGCAUCUGUAUGAGGGUCGAGACUUGAUAUUUCAUGUCUUGCUUAGAUUUUCUUAUAUGUUGCACCUUUAAUGAUUCCCAUAUAUUCGAUGGAUUAUCUGUUUCAUUUUGAGUUCUUUGUAUAAGGGCACCAUUGGGCCUUAAUUUUAAGUCCUAUUGUGGAUUGCUGCAAAUGUUAUUAAGCAAAGCAAGGGGCAUUGAGGAGCUACAUCACAUUCAAAGCAAUAAUAUUGGGUUUUUAUAAGGUACACCCCUACUUUAUUUGUUUGCUUAUUUCUCUCAUUGGGGUUUUGGCUUGUGAAGAGAUAUCUCAUUACAACCUUGUUCAAGAUGUAGUUAAUGCUGUUCUCAGUGCAGCUUUUCAAGGGAUAUAGCUAGCUGAAAACAUGGUCCUCAAGUUCAGGUUGCAGCAACCAAGGCUCUGUAUAAUGCCUUGGAGCUUUUGAAGAGAUCAACUUUGAGAAUGAGAUGAGCCUUAAAUGCAAACCCUAUUUCAGCUUACAUCAAAUGCUAUAAAGGGCGACGAAGAGACUUUAGCUCUCCAAGCAAUUGAGUUCUGGAGCUGUGUCUGUGGUGAAGAGAUUGAACUUCGGGAGCUUGAGAGUCCUGAAAGUGGUGACUCUGGACCUUCCCAUUCUGGUAUUCCUAAGAAGGCUUUAUUGUCUGCUAUUCCUUUAUUGUUGGAAACUUUGCUGAAGCAGAAAGAGGAUCAAGACCAGGAUGAUACAAUCACAAACAUAUAUAUGGCUUGUGGGACUUGUCUUGUUCUUUUUGCCAGAACGGUUGGAGGUAUGAUCUGGAUAGUAGUUGAAUCUAUUCUGUUUGAAUUAUUUUUCAAGUAUAAAAUUCUUAUAUCUGUAAUUAAAAGCAUAGAACAGUCGCCCCUAAAUCCUCUUAUCCUAUACAAGCCUUGUAAUACAUAUAACUGUUUAGGCUUACUAACAUACUAUUAAUUGAAUACAAUGCAAUCCCUUAAAAUUAGUAGCUACAAAAUAAGAAAGGUAAUACACUAAUAAAGUCCAAUAAGAUGAGAUAUGACGGAGAUUCAGCCUUCAAAAAAAUCCAUCAUGCAAUCUUGAAGGAUUCUCCAUAGUUUAAGGGUUAUAAUUAUUGAAUCCAAUUCAAUAUUUAAAUGAAAUUAAACAUGUGAGUAAUUUGUAAAUAUAGAAAUUACAUAUGUAGACACUUAAGUGUAUAUUAAAUAAUUGCACAUGUUUCUUUUUUAAUGGGAUCUUAAUAAUUGAGGUUCCUUGUUGACCCAACAUGCUGAUUUUUAUAAUAUACCAACUUUACACCAGCUAUCACUAAAUUAAAAUAUAUUGUAUUGAUGUUCUGAAUUGAAGUAAGAAAUUGCCUGUCUUCCCACCAGAAGUCAACUCAAUCAUUUUCACAUCUACACACGUUUUCAUCAUAUUCACUAUCAUCUUUUUAUUAUUUUAUAUUUUUAUUUUUCUGGCAUCAUGUGAACUUCCAAAAGAAUAAUAAAUUGCACAUGGUAUCCACUGCACACAAAAGACGCCUUACAAUGGACCCAUUGUGUCAAAACCAAAUAAAGUGGGAUAAAAGAGAGCUGUGUGCAAUGCAAGUCUUCCCACCAAGUCAAUGAUUUAUUCACCAUCUUUUUUCCUUUUUUUUGGUAUCAAAAUGCAUGUGAACUUCCAACAGUUUGUCUUUGUCUUUCGCCCCCUUGUAGUCUCAAACUUUCAUACAACUCCAUAAGCAUCUUUGAUUUAAUCCUUGCUUCUAUUUCCAGAAAUUGUUCAACUCACUCUUCUACAGUCAAAACCAGGUAUGGGUAAUAUCUUCUCAGUCUCACUUUCCCUCGAUCCCAUCAUUACCCGUUGCUCGGAUUGUGCUACUGGACAAGCAAGUUAUAUAUGCAACCUCGAAGAUAACCUCCAUGCUUUACAAGCAGAAGUAGCAGGACUGAAGGCGAUCAGGAGGGAUCUGAUGAGCAGGGUCAGGGUCGCUGAAGAUGAGAAGCAACUUAAGCGGCUACCCCAAGUUGACCUUUGGCUUUCGAGGGCUGAAACUCUGAUAAACGAUGCUGAUCAACUGAUUGUCCAAGGCCCUCAGCAUGUUGAAAAUCUAUGUAUGGGAGGUUGUUGCACCACUCAUCCUAGGUCCAGCAUCAAGUUCGGGAAGCAAAUUGCCAAAAAACUCCUAGAGGUGAAAGACCAGAAGGAGAAUGGAGAUUUCAGUGGUGUGGCCAGCAAGCCACCACUUCCUUCAGCAACUGAAAGACCUAGUGAGCCGACUGUGGGUUUAGAGUCCAAUUUCAACAAGGUCUGGAGCUGUCUUCAAAAGGAACAAGUGGGAAUUAUUGGCAUAUAUGGCUUAGGAGGGGUUGGCAAGACAAGCCUCCUAAGCCAAAUCAAUAACAAAUUCCAUGAUACUACCCAUGAUUACCAUGUCAUUUGGGCAGUUGCAUCACAAGAUCGGCCAAUUGAGAGAGUCCAGGAUCAAAUUACCGAAAGAAUAGGCCUUUCUAAUGAAGGUUGGAAAUCUAAGAGCCUUGAUGAGAAAGCUGAAGGCAUCUUCCAGGUAUUAUGUAAAAAGAAGUUUGCAUUGUUGUUGGAUGAUGAAGUUGGUUCAGCAUGCAGCAAACUCGACAGCAUGCAGGCCAUCAAGACCAAGUCAUGCAGGAGCUGCUGGAACGAGCUGAACUAUUCCUAUUUUGUUCAACUUGUAAUCUUAAGUUAAUGUAAUGUACUUUAGUUCAUUUAGAACUAUGUUAGGUUUAUGAUUGAUGUAUUUUGAUGACAAUUAAGCUGUUAAGUCAGCUUUGUUUAAGUGUGCAAGCUUAGUUUUUCAAGUUUCAAUGUAUUAGUGGUAGUAGGUGAUGAUUAGGUAUCAUUAUGCAGAUUUUGACAAGCAAAUUGCUUGGUUUAUGUAUUGGCAUUAUGCCAUUGUUCAACCUAUGAAUGAAGUUUAGUUUGUUCAUCAAUUUUCCUCUUCAUUUUCUUAGCUUUUUCCUUUCUUUCUUCUGGCUCGAAUUCUCUUGUUUGCUCAGCAAGUCUCGAGACUUGGUUGACAAGUUUGCACUGAUUCUGUUAAGUUUCAGUUACAGCACCAACAAUUGGUAUCUAGAGCCUAUUUCUUAAGGGAUCUGUUACACAAUUCCAUGGCUUCAUCAAGCUUUUCACCAGCUGCACCUCAAGUCUUCAAUGGAGAAGGCUAUCACAUAUGGGUGGUCAAGAUGAAGACCUACCUGCAGGCUUUCGAUCUGUGGGAGGUGGUCAACUCUGAUGUUGAACCAGAGCCACUUAGAGCUAAUCCAACAGUGGCUCAGAUCAGGCAGCAUGCUGAUGAAAGGACCAAGAGGCACAAAGCUAUGUCUUGCAUCCAAAACUCAGUGUCUGAUGUGAUUUUCACAAGGAUUAUGGCCUGUGAAUCACCAAAACAGGCCUGGGACAAGUUGCAGGAAGAGUUUCAAGGGACAGAGAGGACAAGGCAGCAACAGUUGUUAAACUUGAGGAGAGAUUUCGAGAAUUUGAAGAUGAAGGAAGAAGAAACUGUCAAGCAAUAUUCUGACAGGAUUAUGGCUGUGGUUAACAGCAUCAGGCUCCUUGGAGAGCAGUUCAAUGAAGCUAGGAUAGUGGAGAAGGUUAUAGCAACUCUGCCUGAGAGGUAUGAGGCAAAAAUCUCAUCUCUCGAGGACUCAAGGGAUCUGUCCACCAUCUCCCUGACAGAGUUAAUCAAUGCUCUAUAUGCUCAAGAGCAGAGGAGAGCAAGCAGACUGGAGGAGCACCAAGAAGGUGCCUUUCAGGCAAGAGCAAAUACUGCCUACAAAGGCAAGAAGGCCUGGAGAGACAAGCCAAAGAAUGAUGCUGCAAGGAGAGAAGGUCAGACUUGCAAGCACUGUAGAAAGGCUGGUCAUUCAGAAGAAAAAUGCUGGUUCAAUCCAGAUGCUGUGUGUCAGCAUUGUAAGAAGAAGGGUCAUGUUGAGAGAGUCUGCAAGAGUAAGACCAAAUCGAGGCAGAAUCAGUUUCAACAGAUGAAAGCUGAGGCUCGAGUAGCUAAGGAGGACAGUGACCAAGAGGAGCAAGUCUUUGCUGUGUCAUGCUCAGCUGCUCAGGAAAAGUCCUCAUCUGGUUGGCUCCUAGACAGUGGAUGCACCAACCACAUGACACCUGAUGCUGCAAUCUUCAAGUCUUUAGACAGAAGCUGCAGAACUAAAGUCAAGAUAGGAAAUGGUCAUUUUAUUCAAGCUGAAGGCAAGGGUGAUGUGCUGAUAUGCACCCUCACAGGUACCAAAGUGAUUUCAAAUGUGCUGUUGGUGCCUGAAAUUGACAGAAACCUGCUCAGCAUAGCUCAGUUGCUGGAAAAAGGUUAUUCAGUUGUGUUUAAAGACCACCAGUGCCAAAUCAGUGAUCCAAGUGGAUCCAAACUGAUGGCAGUCCCUAUGGCUGAUAAGAGCUUUGUGGUUGACUGGACAAAAAAGUCAGACAUUGCCUACACAGCCACUUCAGAUGAAUCCAAGCUGUGGCAUCAAAGACUGGGACAUGCCAACUUCAGAUCGAUGGCUCGAAUGGUCAGAGAGGACCUGGCUGAAAAUUUCAUCAACUCAGUGGACCAUGAUGAUGUAUGUGAUGUAUGUCAGCUAGGAAAGCAGGCCAGACUCCCAUUUCCCUCGAAUCAAGCCUGGAGAGCCUCUGAAAAACUCCAACUGGUGCAUACUGAUGUGUGUGGCCCUAUGAAGACUGAGUCAUUAAGUGGAAACAGGUAUUUCAUACUGUUCAUUGAUGAUUUCUCGAGAUAUUGCUGGAUUUACUUUUUAAAACAGAAAUCAGAGGUGGCCUCAGUGUUUUGGAAGUUCAAGACUGCUUCUGAGACUGAAACAGGCUGCAAGCUGAAGACCAUAAGGUCUGAUAAUGGGACUGAAUACACCUCAGCUCAGUUCCAAGCCUUCUGUGAUAAGGCAGGCAUCAAACAUCAACUUACCAACACAUAUACACCUCAGCAGAAUGGGGUAAGUGAAAGGAAGAAUAGGAGUUUGAUGGAUAUGGCCAGGUGCUUGAUGAUUCAGAAGAAUCUGCCUAAAGCACUAUGGGCAGAAGCAGUUAACACUGCAACAUACAUUCAAAAUAGACUUCCAACCAAGGCUUUGGAUCAAAAGACCCCAUUCGAGGCCUGGUUUAGCUUCAAGCCAUCACUGGCUCAUCUGAAGGUCUUUGGAUGCAUCUGUUAUGCACAUGUACCUGCUGUUAAAAGGGACAAAUUGUCUGAAAGGGCUCGACCUGGUGUUUUGGUGGGGUAUAGCACUGUUAAGAAGGGCUAUAGGAUUUUAGAUCCUUCAACAAACAAAGUGUCAAUAAGCAGGGAUGUGGUAUUUGAUGAGAGGUCAUGUUGGAACUGGGAAAGACAUGAACCUGAAGAAGUUUCUGAAGAACUUGCAGCAGACCAAGCUGAGCCAGACCAAAAUGUCCCUGAAAUGGAUAUUGAUGAUGAACCAGUCAGAGGAACAAGGUCAUUGGCUGAGAUUUAUGAAAGGGCUCAUGUAGCCAUAGCUGAACCAAGCAACUUUGAAGAGGCUGAGGCUCAACAAGGGUGGAAGCAGGCAAUGGCUGAGGAGAUCAGCAUGAUUGAGAAGAACCAGACCUGGAAAUUGGUUGAAAGGCCAGUUAAAAGGAAGGUGAUUGGGGUGAAAUGGGUGUACAAAGCCAAGCAGAAUGCUGAUGGUACCUUGAACAAGCUAAAAGCAAGGCUAGUUGUCAAGGGGUUCAGUCAGAGGUAUGGCUUGGACUACCUGGAGACCUUUGCACCAGUGGCCAGGCUCGACACCAUCAGACUGCUGAUUGCCUUAGCAGCACAGCUCGAAUGGAAGAUCCAUCAACUUGAUGUGAAAUCAGCCUUUCUGAAUGGUUUCUUAGAUGAAGACAUCUAUGUUGAACAACCACAAGGGUUUGAAAUAGCUGGCAGAGAGCAUAUGGUCUACAAACUGAAGAAGGCCCUAUAUGGAUUAAAACAGGCUCCAAGGGCUUGGUAUAGCAGAAUCGAUGGCUACUUGACUGAUCUGGGAUUCGAUCGAAGCAAGAGUGAGCCAACACUGUAUGUCAAGAAACAAGGGACACAAAUACAGCUCAUUGUAUCCCUGUAUGUUGAUGAUCUUCUAGUGACAGGAGGAGAUAAAGGAGUGCUGGCUGACUUCAAGACCAAGAUGCAAGAAGUGUUUGAAAUGUCUGAUCUUGGGGAGAUGUCAUAUUUUCUCGGAAUGGAGGUGUCUCAAGUACAGAAUGAGAUAAUUUUAAGCCAGAGAAGCUUUGCCACAAAGAUUCUGACCAGGUUCUCCAUGCAAAACAGCAAGGCAACUAAAACACCUGUUGCUGUUGGAGAAAAACUAUCGAGCCAAGGUGAUUUCAAGAAAGUUUGUGAAACAACCUACAGGAGUCUAGUUGGUUGCUUGCUAUACUUGACUGCCACUAGACCAGACAUCAUGUAUGCUGUAGGAUUGCUCUCAAGGUUCUUGCAUUGCUGCAAUGAGAAGCAUUUCCAAGCUGCAAAGAGAGUGCUAAGAUAUGUCAAAGGCACUUUAAACUAUGGUUUGAAGUACAGCAAAGAAGGAAAUCUGAAGCUGGUUGGCUACACUGAUAGUGACUGGGCUGGCUCGAUAGAUGACAUGAAAAGCACCUCAGGGUAUGCUUUUAACCUUGGUUCAGCCAUGUUUUGUUGGAGCUCAAAGAAGCAAAGUCUUGUAGCUCAAUCUACUGCUGAAGCAGAGUAUGUGGCAACAGCAAAUGCUGUCAACCAAGCCAUAUGGCUAAGGAAAAUAUUGGCUGACUUGAAUGUGCAUCAAAAUGAAGCUACUGAGAUCUUUUGUGACAACCAAUCUGCAGUAGCAAUUGCUAAAAAUCCAGUGUUCCAUGGAAGAACAAAACAUUUCAGCAUCAAGUUGCAUGUUGUUCGAGAAAUGGAGCAAGCUCAGGAAGUAAAGCUGAUCCACUGUAAUUCAGAGGAUCAACUUGCUGACAUUUUAACCAAAGCUCUUAGUGUCACAAGGUUCGAAUAUCUAAGAAAGAUGCUAGGUGUUUGCUCCAUGCAAACCAAGGAGGAGUGAUGAAGUUGGUUCAGCAUGCAGCAAACUCGACAGCAUGCAGGCCAUCAAGACCAAGUCAUGCAGGAGCUGCUGGAACGAGCUGAACUAUUCCUAUUUUGUUCAACUUGUAAUCUUAAGUUAAUGUAAUGUACUUUAGUUCAUUUAGAACUAUGUUAGGUUUAUGAUUGAUGUAUUUUGAUGACAAUUAAGCUGUUAAGUCAGCUUUGUUUAAGUGUGCAAGCUUAGUUUUUCAAGUUUCAAUGUAUUAGUGGUAGUAGGUGAUGAUUAGGUAUCAUUAUGCAGAUUUUGACAAGCAAAUUGCUUGGUUUAUGUAUUGGCAUUAUGCCAUUGUUCAACCUAUGAAUGAAGUUUAGUUUGUUCAUCAAUUUUCCUCUUCAUUUUCUUAGCUUUUUCCUUUCUUUCUUCUGGCUCGAAUUCUCUUGUUUGCUCAGCAAGUCUCGAGACUUGGUUGACAAGUUUGCACUGAUUCUGUUAAGUUUCAGUUACAGCACCAACAUUGGAUGAUAUAUGGGGAUGGUUUGAUCUCACAAGAGCUGGGGUACCUCUUCCACCAAAAGAAAAUGGCUCUAAAGUCAUUUUCACAACUCGUCGUUUUGACGUGUGCUGUCAAAUGCAACCGAACAUGGAUAGUAAUAUCAGAGUGGAAUGUUUACCACCAGGAGAAGCUUUCAAACUGUUCGAGGAGAA